rnacentral:tRNA from 1 species
AUCUAUAUAGUUUAAUUAAAACAUUACAUUUUCAAUGUAAAAAUAAUAUAUUAUUUAUAGGUA